rnacentral:rRNA from 1 species
UUGUUCCUACGGGGGGCAGCAGUGGGGGAUAUUGCACAAUGGGGGAAACCCUGAUGCAGCGACGCCGCGUGGGUGAAGAAGCGCCUCGGCGCGUAAAGCCCUGUCAGCAGGGAAGAAAAUGACGGUACCUGAAGAAGAAGCCCCGGCUAACUACGUGCCAGCAGCCGCGGGAAUACGUAGGGGGCAAGCGUUAUCCGGAUUUACUGGGUGUAAAGGGAGCGUAGACGGCAUAGCAAGUCUGAAGUGAAAGACCGAGGCUCAACCGCG